rnacentral:rRNA from 1 species
GGAUGCUAAUCUCAAAAAGCCGAUCGUAGUCCGGAUUGGAGUCUGCAACUCGACUCCAUGAAGUCGGAAUCGCUAGUAAUCGCGGAUCAGAAUGCCGCGGUGAAUACGUUCCCGGGCCUUGUACACACCGCCCGUCACACCAUGGGAGUUUGUUGCACCAGAAGUAGGUAGUCUAACCUUAGGGGGGACGCUUACCACGGUGUGGCAGAUGACUGGGGUGAAGUCGUAACAAGGUAGCCGUAGGGGAACCUGCGGCUGGAUCACCUCCUUA